rnacentral:rRNA from 1 species
UGGGGAAUAUUGGGCAAUGGGCGCAAGCCUGACCCAGCGACGCCGCGUGCGGGAUGAAGGCCUUCGGGUUGUAAACCGCUUUCAGCAGGGACGAAGCGAAAGUGACGGUACCUGCAGAAGAAGCCCCGGCUAACUACGUGCCAGCAGCCGCGGUAAGACGUAGGGGGCGAGCGUUAUCCGGAUUUAUUGGGCGUAAAGCGCGCGCAGGCGGCCGUGCAAGUCGGAUGUGAAAACACGAGGCUCAACCUCGUGCCUGCAUUCGAUACUGCUCGGCUAGAGGCAGGUAGGGGAGAUCGGAAUUCCCGGUGUAGCGGUGAAAUGCGCAGAUAUCGGGAGGAACACCGGUGGCGAAGGCGGAUCUCUGGGCCUGUCCUGACGCUCAGGCGCGAAAGCUGGGGGAGCGAACAG